CUGAAGAUGGACGGCCGGGUGAGGUGGAAGGUCGGGACUUUUAUCUCGGGCAGGUACCAUUUCUACGUUCGGUGCCCCGCUUUUAUCCCUUUGGGUCCGAAGAACAACGGGGUUGUGGUCGGAAAUAACGCCAUCAAGUACCAGCUGCUGCAGCAUUGCAAAGUGAGCGUGUGAAGAAGAAGAUGGACGGGAACUGGAGGCUAAAUGUUACCGUUAAGACGCCGUUAGUUCAUUUUCUUUAAUUUUUCUCAAAUUUCUUCUUCUUUUUUUCUUCUUAAUUUGAACUUUUAGUUGGAGUCUUUGCGUCUGGUUAUAUAAUUAUAUAUACGCUUUGGUGUUUUGAAUUGUAAAUUUUGCUAUAGAAUAAAAACGGAGGAUUAUGAUACAACGUAUAGCAAAAUUGCAGUCGGUCGGUGGUGAUUGAUUUUCAAUUGUAUAAUUUAAAUUUAUAGUUUAUUUUAUAUAAUUCAAUAAUCAUGCAAUUGGAUACAGGUGGAGGUUGGGGUGUCAUUUUCUUUCAAUUUAUAUUUUUUUUUUCUCUCUUCUAAUAAUUUUAUUUUCUUUUGGGGAAUUACUUAAAUAAAUUAUGUCAAUUUUGUAUUCCUCAAGCUAUAUGGACAUCAUCCUUCCCCCUUCAUCAUUAAUUUAGUUGUACCACUUAGCUGGAGAAGUCUUCGUCAACAAUUUAAAAUUUAGAAUCCCACUUUUUUUUUAAUUCUCUCACAUGGGAUGAGUCUUUUUUUUCUUUUUCUUUUUUUAAAUUUUAUAGAAAAGAGUUUAAUUCGAUUGGCAUAAAAAUGGCCAGAAGCUAAGGAAAAGGAGAAGAAUAUGAAACAUACAUUAAUCCGUAGUAAUGCAGUUAUAUUGAAUGUGAUGAAAUGUUGCUUCCAUUAUUUACGAGUGGUCCCACUUGGGAAGGUUGGUGGAUGGGGCCUACAUGGGCUUCAUGGGUUUAUAAAAGAAACCUAUAAAUGAUAUUAGGGCAGGCAGGAAGAAUCGAACUUAAAAUCUUAGAUGCAUUGAUAAAUACUGUUAAUUAUUUUAGCUAUAAAUCUCCUACCGGAUAAAUGUGGCUAAAAUUGGUGGAGCUGUAGUAGCUAGGGUGGGGAUUAUUAGGAAUUUUGGAUGCGUUGGUUUUGGAGUGGAGUUUAUUUAUCGUCUUCCACACGGUGGUGGUGGUCCUUUUCAACCCCCCCUCCUCUAAGUGAGAAUUUGCUCUUUCUACCUACUAAUAAUGGAGAGAUGGAAAGGGACUUUCAUGAAUAAAAGUUUUCAACAUAUGGCUCUCAUAAAAUGUGACAUAUUGUUGAGCUAAGGAUAUAUAGAAUAGAGUGAAGAGAUAAAGAGUGGGGGGGUGGUCUGUGUCAAGCUCUGAAGCUCAUCACAUGAUUGCGUGCACAAUGAGUCAAAAGCAAGCAGACAGAAUUAUAUUGUGCGCAUUCAUAAGAUUUUGGUAGCAUUUUGAUGAGUUCAAAAUUAUUGGCAUGAUCAAUUAAGAUUAGGAUCCAGAGGAGUUGGUGUGCAUGUUGAUUUUGAGUCAUUUUGAUCACAGCUGGCAUGAACAAUUUUAAAUAAAUAAAUAAAACAUAGCAUAAAUGAAAUAAGGUUGAGAUUUGAGAGGCCUGUCUCAAAGAGGGGAAUUGGGCUGCCUGGCCAUGAAACGCUUACAAAAACCAUCAAAGUGAAAAAUGAAGCAAUAACAUAAAACAAAAUUUUCAUGUUUGGUGGGUGGCUUUGGUAAUAUAUUAGUUUGACAUGGCGAACCGACUUCAAACCCUAAAAAGUCUAGGGAGUUGCCCUAAUGCGACUUUCAGGUUAAAAGUAACAUGGGGGGCAUCUUAUUAAUUCCACAAUGUCUAAACUAUGGGAGGCUUCCUGGUUUUAGGACCAAAAUAUGUGAACAAAAUAACUUCACAUGCCAACAGCAACCCAACUGGUGACACACUUGUGACAAAAUCUCAUGACUCGGGAAGAAGAACAUGUCCCAAGAAAGAUAAGAAGAUAAGUUCUAGCAGUACUCAAAUAAAACCAAAAUAGGAUUCCAUUUCUUCCCCAAAAAAUAGUAGGUUCAUGGCAUGUUUAUAGGGAGAAAACCCGUCCAUAUGCUUAUGCGUAUAAUGAAUUUAAGUGAUUUUAAAGUCCGUUUGGAUGAGGGAUUUAGGCUUCCAUGAGAUUUAUAAAUCUACAUUGGCUAAAUGCCUUGUUUGGCAAGUUCAAAAAAAGAAACUUCAAAAAUGACUUGGGAUUUAAAGGAGGGAUUUGUAAAGCCCAAAUUCCAUUAUGAAAUAACACCUAAACAUGCAUUACUUUGAAAUUUCCACACUCGAACGCGACCAAAGCCAACGACAAAAUAAUUAGCCAAACAACGAAUUUUACUAAUCUCAUCAUUGUGAAGUCCCUCACCUUAAAAUCCCAUCACUUCAAAAUCUCUUAUCCAAACACAACCUUAAGCAAUUUUCUCAAAAAUUCAUUUAAAAUCACUUACUUAAAAUGAUUAUUAACCUAUCUAGAAUCAUUCACAAACAAACUCUUAAUCUUGAAAUCGGUUGCUAUGGAAACCUUUUAACACUAAUCAGUGCAGAUAACAAAUUACCUUUCGGAGUUUUGGGCUAUACUGCCUUCUGCUUCAAGUUAGGCUUUGUGAUCUCUAGGCCUCAUGAAAUUACACAUGUGAUCUGAUGGGCCAAGUUGGGUCAGGCAUGGAUCCAUGAAGAUGCAUCGGUUAUCCCACGAGUUCUAUUUUCUUCUCUUUGUUUCGAAACCC
rnacentral:lncRNA from 1 species